AACGCAUAUUGCGCUCCCUGGUAUUCCGGGGAGCAUGCCUGUUUCAGCAUCAUUUGAACAUCUCAAAAUCAUUUUUUUUUUGAUGAUUUUGGAAGUUGGGCAUUUUGUUGUGAAAAUCUGUCACAACUAGCCUGAAAUUUGAAGGAAAUCAAUGCAAGAAAUGUGUAGAUGCUUUGGUGCGAAAAGACGAAAAGCUUAUUAGUUGACUGUGGUCAAACUUUGCCAACUAGUCUUUUUUGACGGCUGAGGCAAGUCUACCUUCACAAAUUGAUCUGAAAUCAGGUAGGAUUACCCGCUGAACUUAA
rnacentral:misc_RNA from 1 species